CCUACGGGAGGCAGCAGUGAGGAAUAUUGGUCAAUGGGCGCGAGCCUGAACCAGCCAAGUAGCGUGAAGGAUGACUGCCCUACGGGUUGUAAACUUCUUUUUUAAAGGAAUAAAGUGAUGCACGUGUGCCUUUUUGUAUGUACUUUAUGAUUAAGGAUCGGCUAACUCCGUGCCAGCAGCCGCGGUAAUACGGAGGAUCCGAGCGUUAUCCGGAUUUAUUGGGUUUAAAGGGAGCGUAGAUGGGUUGUUAAGUCAGUUGUGAAAGUUUGCGGCUCAACCGUAAAAUUGCAAUUGAUACUGGCAGCCUUGAGUACAGUUGAGGUAGGCGGAAUUCGGGGUGUAGCGGUGAAAUGCUUAGAUAUCACGAAGAACUCCGAUUGCGAAGGCAGCUUACUAACCUGCCACUGACAUUGAUGCUCGAAAGUGUGGGUAUCAAACAGGAUUAGAUACCCUAGUAGUC
rnacentral:rRNA from 1 species